rnacentral:rRNA from 1 species
CCUACGGGAGGCAGCAGUGAGGAAUAUUGGUCAAUGGGCGCGAGCCUGAACCAGCCAAGUAGCGUGCAGGAUGACUGCCCUACGGGUUGUAAACUUCUUUUAUAAAGGAAUAAAGUGAGGCACGUGUGCCUCUUUGUAUGUACUUUAUGAAUAAGGAUCGGCUAACUCCGUGCCAGCAGCCGCGGUAAUACGGAGGUUCCGAGCGUUAUCCGGAUUUAUUGGGUUUAAAGGGAGCGUAGAUGGGUUGUUAAGUCAGUUGUGAAAGUUUGCGGCUCAACCGUAAAAUUGCAAUUUAUACUGGCAGCCUUGAGUACAGAUGAGGUAGGCGGAAUUCGUGGUGUAGCGGUGAAAUGCUUAGAUAUCACGAAGAACUCCGAUUGCGAAGGCAGCUUACUAAACUGCAACUGACAUUGAGGCUCGAAAGUGUGGGUAUCAAACAGGAUUAGAUACCCGAGUAGUC